rnacentral:rRNA from 1 species
CCUAACACAUGCAAGUCGAGGGCAGCACGAAUCAAGCUUGCUUGAUUUUGGUGGCGACCGGCGCACGGGUGCGUAACAGGUGUGCAAUCUGUCCAUAAUCGGGGAAUAGCCCAGCAAAGUUGGAUUAAUUCUCUAUGUGAGCCGAGAGGGCAUCCUUUUGGUUUGAAACGCGAGGGUAUAGGGUGAGCACGCUUCUGAUUAGCUAGUUGGUGAGGUAACGGCUCACCAAGGCGACGAUCAGUAGGGGUUCUGAGAGGAAGGUCCCCCACAUUGGAACUGAGACACGGUCCAAACUCCUACGGGAGGCAGCAGUGAGGAAUAUUGGUCAAUGGACGCAAGUCUGAACCAGCCAUGCCGCGUGCAGGAAGACGGCUCUAUGAGUUGUAAACUGCUUUUGUAUGAGGGUAAAAUUGGGUACGUGUACCUAACUGAAAGUAUCAUACGAAUAAGGAUCGGCUAACUCCGUG